rfam:Synergistales bacterium 53_16 MPI_scaffold_837, whole genome shotgun sequence.
UUUCUUCUUGACCUCCGAGCCUUUGCUCCUGUAGGCGCAAUGUCAAUGGAGCCAGGCCGCAGGGUACUCCUGGAAACAGGAGUGCCUCCCGUAAUUGGAAAGGAGGGAUCGAGCCUAAUCU